UGGGGAAUCUUGCGCAAUGGCCGAAAGGCUGACGCAGCGACGCCGCGUGUGGGAGGACGCCUUUCGGGGUGUAAACCACUGUUGCCCGGGACGAAUAUCCUGUUUUGACAGGAUUGACGGUACCGGGUGAGGAAGCACCGGCUAACUCCGUGCCAGCAGCCGCGGUAAUACGGAGGGUGCGAGCGUUGUCCGGAAUCAUUGGGCGUAAAGGGCGCGUAGGUGGCACGACAAGCGUGCGGUGAAAGCUUGGGGCUCAACCCCGAGUCGGCCGUGCGAACUGUUGAGCUGGAGCACUGUAGAGGCAGGCGGAAUUCCGGGUGUAGCGGUGGAAUGCGUAGAGAUCCGGAAGAACACCGGUGGCGAAGGCGGCCUGCUGGGCAGUUGCUGACACUGAGGCGCGACAGCGUGGGGAGCAAACAG
rnacentral:rRNA from 1 species